GAUCCUGGCUCAGGAUGAACGCUAUCUACAGGCUUAACACAUGCAAGUCGAGGGGAAACGACAUCGAAAGCUUGCUUUUGAUGGGCGUCGACCGGCGCACGGGUGAGUAACGCGUAUCCAACCUGCCUACCACGUUGGGGAUAACCUUGCGAAAGUAAGACUAAUACCCAAUGACAUCCCACGAAGACAUCUGAAUGGGAUUAAAAGAUUUAUCGGUGAUGGAUGGGGAUGCGUCUGAUUAG
rnacentral:rRNA from 1 species